AAAAAUAAUUCCAUAACGACCAAACCGAAAAAAGUUGUCUCAUUGAUUAUUGUUAUUGUAAACCCAAACACAAAACACAAACAACAUAAGAAGUAUCGCCUUCUCCCACUAUUCAUUCAUUCAUAUUUGGCUUUUUCUUCUCUCAAACCCCAAUCUCAUUCAUUCAUUCCUCUUAUUACUACUACCAACAAUAACAACUCCCUCUUUCUUUUCCCUUCAUUGACGAUCUCCACGAAGCUAGAGAGCCCUUAUAAUUUCAACAACCCUUUCUCUUUCUAUCACCCAUUUUUCCUCUUUCUCUUUCUCUCUCUCCUUGGUUUUGGAUCUUCAAUUUCUCAUUCACUGAUUUUGGUGAUUUGA